GGGAGGAAAACGGAUUGCUUUGGAUUGGAUUGCACUGCAGGCUGAUGCCGACGCCGCCACCGCCUCCGCUCUCUUCCGCUCGUCCCGGCCGCCACUCGUCCUCCAGGACCUCGGUGGCGGCGGCGUCGCGGCCUGCAUCGCCGCCGCCGCUUCUCCUACCUUGCCAGGAGCAUUAAACCCUGCUGCCGUUGUCCCUAUCUCCCCCAACUCCGGCCAUGCCGCCGCUCCUCCUCUCCCUCCGCUCCUCGCCCUCCCCGUGCCUCCGGCUUCGCCGCCUCCGCCUAUUCCGCUGCUCCGCAUCCUCCUCCGCCACCCCCUCCUCGUCGCUCGCCCCUUACCACGCAUCCUUCGACCGCCGCAUGGCCCUCGCCGGCAUCCACCCGCACCACCGCAUCGCGGUGGGGGUCUCUGGCGGGCCGGACUCCAUGGCGCUGUGCGUGCUCGCCGCGGCAUGGAAGAAGGCGGCGGGGCGGAAGGCCGCAGGCGAGGGGGGCUCCGAUGCCUCGGCAUUCGUGGACGGUCUUCUGGGCGUCGUCGUCGACCACGGGCUGCGCCCCGAGAGCGCCGACGAGGCGCGGCUUGUGCGCGACCGCGUGCGCGGCAUGGGGGUUGAGUGUGAGAUUGCUAGAUGUGAGUGGCCAGAUGGUCGCCCAAAACAAGGGCAUGUGCAAGAGGCUGCCCGUGAAGUGAGGUACCAAAAAUUAUUGGACAUUUGUAUAAAGCAACAAAUAGGAGUCUUGCUUAUUGCACACCACUCUGAUGACCAGGCUGAGCUCUUUGUUCUUAGACUAUCUCGCAAUAGUGGGAUUUUAGGGCUUGCUGGUACAGCCUUUGUGUCUCAAUUGUUUGCGCCUAAUCUAAAAUAUGAUGGAGAGAACUUUCGACGGUAUGGCAUUCUUCUUGUGCGGCCCAUGCUUGAUUUUUCAAAAGAUGAUAUGUAUAAGAUAUGUCAAGGUAGUAAUCAAUCCUGGGUGGAAGAUCCAACAAAUAAUAGUAUGAUGUAUGCUAGAAACAGGAUUCGGGCAUCUUUGAGAAAUUUAUCUAUUGAAGGUACCUUUCACUCCGGAGUUCAUAAACUGAUAAGCGCAUGCCGGUUGGCAAGGACAUGUGUUGAUGGUACCUGGAGUAUGAUCGCAAAGAAGUCUGUGUCAAUAUUGGAGUAUGGAUAUGCUGUUAUUGACCUGGAAAAACUUGAUCCAUUAAAUGUCGACGACCUUUGUCUUUCACAUUAUUUAGCAAAUAUCUUGCAGUUUGUUUCACAGAGGCACAAGCCACUUCGUGGUAGAUCUGCUCGACUGCUCCUGGAUUACAUUUGUACCAUUCCUUGCAAGGCUGCCCUUACCGUAGCUGGUUGUUACCUUUGUGCUGUUCCAAGGUCUAAAGGUUCGAAAGUACUCGUUUGUUGUUCUGUUGAUUGGAUGGAGUCAUCUUCUGCUGAAAUUUCCUACAAGUGUUCCUACGAAGAGCGGGCACCUCCAGUACCCAAGAUUGAUCAGAUAGUCCUUGAAGGACUUCUACAGUCUAAUCAGUUUAUACAGAACCACUCCAACAUACCUUUUGUGUAUUCUAAAUCUUCCAUAGAUGUUCUGAACAAAGCAAAGGAUCUCAACUUAAUAGACGAUUUUACAUUAGAAAAGCUCUGUUACUUGCGAACAGAUGAGCAAAAUAAAUUUAUUGCGAAAGAACAUAAAGAUGAAGAACACGAUAUGGAGGAAACAAGAUUUCCUGAUUGUGAUGUCUUGAGCCUUUGUCCUGGCGAAACAUGUCACUUCAUGAGCAGAUUUUUGAUUACAUGGAAAGAUCCAGAUGUUGUGAAUGAAAUAUGUUUGCAUGAAAAUGAAGAAUAUCUGUCCAAGAUUUGUAAUGUGAAUCUGGAUGGAAGUCUUGAAGUCCGGCACAUGAUUGAUGCUGACUGGUUGUUCCUUGCUGAAGUUUGUAAAAUCCGUUCAGUGGAAGACAACCUGAGUGAUCCAAAAGCUUCCAGUGGCAAGAUGCAAAUGGAUAAUGCCCCACAGCACUACAGAUAUUUGCAACAGUCGGCACAGAAAGCUCUUCAGAUCCUUAGAUGUAUUCCUGCUGCUGCAAGACGUACACUACCAGUACUAACCAAUGCGCAAGGUGACAUAGUGUGUAUUCCGAGUAUUGGCUUCAGAUGUUGUCCUAGCCUCUCGAUACAAGCAGUAUUCUAUCCAAGAGUACCUCUCGGUGGAGGAUACAGUUCAUAUGUAUAGUUGCUCGAGCUUUGCUCUGAACGAAGUUGUGGAAUAACACUGUUGGGUUAUGAGUGGCUGCUGGUUCUGAAUGAUGCAAGUUGUUUAACAUUUUGGAUGCUUGACGGACAGUCUUUGUAUGCUACAGCAUGAUUUGAAACUGCUUGUUGAAAUGGCAGAGGAUGGAUAGACCCAUGGACAUUGUAGGCUCAACAAUUUUAACUGAAUUAACUGGUGUGCAGUGGAUGUUCAGUAGGAAAACUUUUGCUUUUGCUUCCCCACCACAGGCGAGAAGGGAGCAUGUACAAGCAGUACACAAUACAUAGCACGCCAUCAGCAUUCAACUAUAUCACAUAAUACAGGUUCCGAAUUGUACAUCAUUUUCAGGAUGUCACGAUACAAACGUGCAGUUGUACAUUAGCCUAUUGACUUCCUGAGUUUACUCUUCAUUGUUGGCAGAUGUACAUGGCAAAUCCUUAGGUAUCUGUUGUAUAAAAGGGUAUUGAUAAAAUGAUGAGCAAUCAGUAGACUAUGAGCGUUGGAAUUUUGUUCCCACUUA